rnacentral:rRNA from 1 species
UGAGGAAUAUUGGUCAAUGGACGCAAGUCUGAACCAGCCAAGUAGCGUGCAGGAUGACGGCCCUAUGGGUUGUAAACUGCUUUUAUAUGGGGAUAAAGUGGGGAACGUGUUCCCUUUUGCAGGUACCAUAUGAAUAAGGACCGGCUAAUUCCGUGCCAGCAGCCGCGGUAAUACGGAAGGUUCGGGCGUUAUCAGGAUUUAUUGGGUUUACAGGGAGCGUAGUCCGUUUGGUAAGCGUGUUGUGAAAUGUAGGAGCUCAACUUCUAGAUUGCAGCGCGAACUGUCAGACUUGAGUGCGCACAACGUAGGCGGAAUUCAUGGUGUAGCGGUGAAAUGCUUAGAUAUCAUGAAGAACUCCGAUUGCGAAGGCAGCUUACGGGAGCGCAACUGACGCUGAAGCUCGAAGGUGCGGGUAUCGAACAGG